UCAAUGGAUUACACCCUGUGUCCAAUUUCUUUAAGUUCUGCGUGUGUCCAGCAGGAGCCUCGCCCACACCUCGGGGUCCUGGCUUCCAAGUAUUGCAGGCUGGACAGGGAAAAUCAGGGCGCACUGCCCAUCUUUCCGGACUUCUGGCCACACUUGAGCGUUACUAAUGGUGUCAGAGGGCGUCGGAGACGCUGGCUGUCCUGCACACGUUGGUGACUCGAGCCCAGGCCGCGCGGGGGAAUCACAGCUGCGUGAGCGCUGCUCUCUAACGACGAGCAAGCGACACAACAACCAGCAAAGAAAAAAUGGGCAGGAAAAAUGACUGCCUUUCUGUGCACACACAAACCAUCACGUGGGGAUGAAAACAAGUGGAUGCUCACGAAGACGAAGACGAAUCUGCUGACCUGACAGCACUUGCGACAAAGUCAGUGCGUUUCACAGAGAGCGGGAGGUGUCAGUUAACCCCGGAAGUUAUUUCCAGGGAUAGGACCAGGAGGUGAUUUCUCAGCUGCCAGGCCCUUCUGACUUCCCGGGGGGACUGUCUGCUGAGCACCACAUCCACCUACUUACGUUCAUGAAGGUCUCAGUCCACAGCAGAGACUUCACAUAGAGGAUGGC